UACGAAGGGGGCUAGCGUUGUUCGGAAUCACUGGGCGUAAAGGGCGCGUAGGCGGCUGUUCAAGUCGGGGGUGAAAUCCCGUGGCUCAACCACGGAAUGGCCUUCGAUACUGGACGGCUGGAGACCGGAAGAGGUGAGUGGAACUGCGAGUGUAGAGGUGAAAUUCGUAGAUAUUCGGAAGAACACCAGUGGCGAAGGCGGCUCACUGGUCCGGUACUGACGCUGAGGUGCGAAAGCGUGGGGAGCAAACAGG
rnacentral:rRNA from 1 species